rnacentral:rRNA from 1 species
GAACGCUAGCGACAGGCCGUAACACAUGCAAGUCAGGGGCGAGCACAAGGAGCAAUCUGAGGUGGCGACCGGCGGCACGGGUGAGUAACACGUAUGCAACCUGCCUGUAAGCGGGGAAUAACCCGUUGAAAGACGGACUAAUACCGCAUAAUACUAAAUUACUGCAUGGUAAUUUAUUUAAACAUUAUUUGGCUUACAGAUGGGCAUGCGCAUGAUUAGCUAGUUGGAGAGGUAACGGCUCCCCAAGGCAACGAUCAUUAGGGGUUCUGAGAGGAAGGUCCCCCACACUGGUACUGAGACACGGACCAGACUCCUACGGGAGGCAGCAGUGAGGAACAUUGGUCAAUGGACGAGAGUCUGAACCAGCCAAGUCGCGUGCAGGAAGAAUGUCCUAUGGAUUGUAAACUGCUUUUGCAGGGGAAUAAAGUGCAUCACGUGUGAUGUUUUGUAUGUACUCUGCGAAUAAGGAUCGGCUAACUCCGUGCCAGCCGCCGC